UCCGUCAAGAUCGCAUCCUCCUUCGUCGUCCACGGCCCUUUCUUCAACCCCCUCGCCUCAGUCGCCGUGGCCGUCGUCUCUCCACCACCGUGCAUAUUCUUAUGGAUGACGGCGUCCCUCCGGUCAAGAAGGAUUUUUCUCUCUGUUACUUGAUAUAUACGAUGUUUGUAUUUUUGUAUAUAUAAGUACUCGUGUAUAAGUGUAUUAUGAAUUAGAAAUAUAGAUAAAGGAAGGAAGAAUUAAAGAGUAUAUUUUCAUUCUGAUAAAAUUUUGUGUGUAUAUUUGGAAAAAAUAAAUAAUUAUUACGUAAUAAUUUGUUGUUAUUACGUGCUUUGUUUAAACAUUAAUGUCUCCUUUUUGUCUCUUUCUUGGUCUUUUUUUUCAGAUAGACAGAGGAUUCAAGAAAUUACAGGAGUUCAUACAUUGUCUGUCUUUAGACCAAUUCAAGAUAAUGAAAAAAAGAUUGUGAUGUAAUAAUAUUGAGAAGUCUAUAUUUUUCUUGUAAGAUAAUCUACACGUCAUAGCGUCUCAGUCUCAUGUUAAUCUAUUUGAAUAUUUUGUAUUUAUAUGUUUACAAGUCGUUCUCAAUAAACAAUAAUCCAUAGAAAUUAGUCAAAACCGUUUGUUUGAUGUUACCAGAGAAUCUAAAUGAAAAUGACUUGUUACAUCCAUUAAUAAACUUUUUAUGAAACAUAGAAACAACCAGGACGAGUUAGUCUGGUGGUAAACGGCUUGCGGUUGAAAGUACGGUUCUGGGUUCGAUUCGCACUGGCCACCAGAGAAUUUACAUACGGACUU
rnacentral:lncRNA from 1 species